AAACAUUCAUACAGUCAAACUGAUGCAACAGGAGAAACAUAUUUAUGCUGAUUAAGAAGCAUCCCACCAGGAACUACAGACAUCUCAAUGCCCAGAAAAUAAUGCAAAGACCAAGGUCUUUGAUCCUUAACUGAUCAUCCAGAAACUGCUUCAGGGCAGAUAGCUCAUCAUUGUCGUCCCCAAUGAUGAUAAUGUCAUU
rnacentral:lncRNA from 1 species